AAGGUUUCUGAGUUGCACACGUGUUUGGCCUCUAUAGGUUUCACUGGGAUCAAUCUUGAACCUUUCUUCUCAUUAUAGAUCCAUCUUCUCCAAGAUGAAUCUCAGCCUUUUGGAUCUUUGAUCAACUCUUGAUUUUUAACUAUGAUCUCAACACUUGAACUGCAGCCUUUCUCCCUAUUUUUUACUAUUGGAAAAUAUGUCCCAAA
rnacentral:lncRNA from 1 species